rnacentral:rRNA from 1 species
GACGAACGCUGGCGGCGUGCUUAACACAUGCAAGUCGAACGAAGUGGCGAACGGGUGAGUAACGCGUAAUCAACCUGCCCUUCAGAGGGGGACAAAAGUUGGAAACGACUGCUAAUACCGCAUACAGAAGGAGGGGAUUGCGUCCGAUUAGCGAGUUGGGGGGGUAACGGCCCACCAGGGCGAUGAUCAGUAGCCGGUCGGAGAGGAUGAACGGCCACAUUGGGACUGUGACACUGCCCAGACUCCGACGGGAGGCAGCAGUGGGGAAUCUUCCGCAAUGGACGAAAGUCUGACGGAGCAACGCCGCGUGAGUGAUGACGUCCUUCGGGUUGUAAAGCUCUGUUAAUCGGGACGCGGUACCGGAAUAGAAAGCCACGGCUAACUACGUGCCAGCAGCCGCGGUAAUAC